CCAGACUCCUACGGGAGGCAGCAGUGAGGAAUAUUGGUCAAUGGGCGAGAGCCUGAACCAGCCAAGUAGCGUGCAGGAUGACGGCCCUAUGGGUUGUAAACUGCUUUUUAAGGUGAAUAAAGAGGGGCACGCGUGCCCUGUUGCAUGUAGCCUUGGAAUAAGGACCGGCUAAUUCCGUGCCAGCAGCCGCGGUAAUACGGAAGGUCCGGGUGUUAUCCGGAUUUAUUGGGUUUAAAGGGAGCGUAGGCCGCAGGUUAAGUGUGUUGUGAAAAGCAGUCGCCCAACGUCUGCCUUGCAGCGCAAACUGUCCUGCUUGAGUGCGCACAACGCAGGCGGAAUUCGUCGUGUAGCGGUGAAAUGCUUAGAUAUGACGAAGAACUCCGAUUGCGAAGGCAGCUUACGGGAGCACAACUGACGCUGAAGCUCGAAGGUGCGGGUAUCAAACAGGAUUAGAUACCCUGGUAGUCCGCACAGUAAACGCUGGAUGCCCGCUGUUGGUUCAUUAGAGUCAGCGGCCAAGCGAAAGCAUUAAGCAUCCCACCUGGGGAGUACGCCGGCAACGGUGAAACUCAAAGGAAUUGACGGGGGCCCGCACAAG
rnacentral:rRNA from 1 species